UGGAUAACUUGCUACUGCUGUGCUUCAGACUCAGCGAUUUGAUCUCAAACGCCUCUCACUGGAAAAGAGCCAUGUGCAGGAAGACUUGCGUGGAUGGCAGGAAACCCCUAGCUCCCCCAGUGUUCCAUGUGCCAUGGAAAAGGGUGACCUACUCACUAUGCACUGCUCAAUUAAGGGUCACUUUGGGAGCUUCCAUCUUCUCCUGCAGGCUCAAUGCAGGCUCUCUGCAGUCUGACUCUCUAUUAGGAAUGAGGUAUUGCCAAAUGUGUACUUUAAUGCCCCUCACGGAUUCAUGGGACUAGGGAUGCAAGAUGUAUUGCCACUGAGACCAUAACAAUUAGCUCAAUUGUUUUUAUGGCAAUCAGAAGCCUGUCUCUUAGCUGUCGCCUAGAUGUUACUAAUAUACUAAUAUUAUCUCAGUGUAGUGUGUGUGUGUUUGUGUGUGUGAUUCCUGUGACUGCAUGCCAAAAGUAUUGUAAAGUUGUAAUGCCCCAAGUGCUGCAGGGCGAGGAUUCGGACACACAGGCUCUCUUGACGAAAACAGACAUUUAUUAUACACACACGAAGGACAAACCUAUCGGCACUCACAGAAAACCAGUUUAAAUACAUGCAGACAUUAGACACGGAAGACGGUGCAGGUGUGGUCGCACCAUGUGACCAGUGGGACUGGGAGCUGUCUGUGACAAAAACAUUUUUCCCAGAUGCAAUCACACUCCUAUGAGGAAAGAAUAGAUAAGUAUAUGGAUGGAUGCAUAGAUAGAAGAAAAAAGACAUGGAAAGGCAGGAAAUGGAGUAUGUCCAUUCCACUGCGCACAGUCUGGGGCGAGCGAGAGGAACAGCUUGAGCCCAGCAGGUGACCGGCAAGUCAGCUGUCAAGCUGCAUCCUCCAUGAGGUUGAGGUUACUCCUGUAGAAUUGUCACUUAAUUACCCCCACUGAGGGAGACUAAUCAUUACUGUUUUAUGAUGGGAGCAAUACAUGCUAAUGUGAGAGGUUUGCAUCUUACUUCAUGACUGGCAGUGUCUGCCACAAGAUGGCCUGUGUUAAGUCACUGGAGCUCUCCUCCCAAGUCCUUUAGAGGUAGUUUGGAAAUGAUAAAAAUGUUCAGACUCAUUCUCAGGUGAAGGUGUUGUGGGGUGGUCACGUGCACUAUGAAAUGGCAUCAAAAAAUUGGUGUUUUUAUACUUCUUGUGCAACUGUCAGCUUCACAGACUGAUAAGUAAAUGACUCAUCUCUUUUUAUUUAGGCAUAAAUGCUAAAUCAUGUGGGGAAAAUGUGUCACUUAUUAGCUUUGUAUUGGAAGUGGGCCAGACUUAACCUAACACUUCAUGCCAACAGCAAUGUUUAUGUGAUCAUUUAUGCCACACAGCUGACCAAACAAUUCACUGUGACUAAAUCACAGCUUACUUUUCACAUUUCUCAUGGCAACAUUCAGAAUUAUCAUUACAACUAAUUUUGUUGUGAUUACUGUUCCUCAACUGUGGAACUCUGUGCUGACUUAAGGAAGUGGUUUGCAACUUCUUGCCAGGCUAGUCUGCUUUGGGUUUAGAGCAAAAGCGAGUUCAUGGCAUGGGUUUCAAAGGUUAUGCUAAAACCACAACCAGGAGCAACUACAAUGAAAACAGUGAACAAGCCUGGACAAUGGAAGCUUUUCCUCAACUGGGACUAAAUCUUUUUUUCACCCUCUCUUUUUCUUGUGGUUGUGGUGGUGUUGGUGGUUCAUAGGAGGGGGGGGUUGUUGGGCCACUCUCUUCGUUUCCCAUGUCAUUCCCACAAAUGGGCUUCCCUAACAGGAACCAUAAGGUACGCUGAUCUCAUUAGAACAAUUACCAAAGGCCUGCAUUUUCCAGUCCAGCCUUUAAAGACCCCAAGGCAAUGUAAUUUCAAAAUCAAUCCGCUUCCAAAAAGCACUAGUGUUGGCACUUUCUAAAGGACUGUCAAUUACCUCUACCUCCACUGGGCAAAGGGAAAGCAGCAUGAUUCAAGCAAGCCUCAAUAAAGGCCCAUUCUUCGGCGAAAUGAGCCUGCGCAUGGACUUGAAUUCAUCCUGCAUUAAUCUCAGCCCGCCUGUGGGAGCCCACUAAAUAUUCAUCGGCUGUGCCAGACCCAACACUGCAUGCAAAUGGAGCAUUCCUGACGUGGAGAAGCUUUAUCUGUUUGAGCUUGUCGGCAUUCUUCAAUUUUUAACCACUGCAAAAUAUGGCAGGAAACCCUAUGAGGUUUGAUACCGCACUGCCCCACCCUACCCUUAUUUCUAUAAGACUAGACAUAGUUAGCAGAGCCAUCCUGAGAUCUCCAGUGACUAAAAGCUGUUUAACUAAGCGACAAGCAGCACAGCAUGACAAGAAGGCUAAUAUCCCUCUCGUUACCCUAAUUCCCUACAUAGAGACAAUAGCUUUGUUAACAGUCUGGAUUAUAUGUAGUUGGCUAAUUUUCACUGAAUAAAAAUCAUGGACAAAAGCUAUCUAGAAGCUAUCUUCUUGCCAGGAGAACUUUCCCACAACUUACAAAUGUUUUCCCCCUAUGCAAGGUUUGAGGAGUUAAAAAGCAUCAGUAUGUUUAUACAUUUGAUGCAAAGCCAAUACUCCUCACAGUGACCCCAGGAAGUCUCAACACAUUGAAUAAAGUGUCCAUAAGCAGUGACAUUUUUACCUUGUAUGAUUAAUUACAUUCCAUGGCAACUGUCACUGCAUAUGCUGUGUCAUGCUGGAGCAAUGCAAUGUAUGAACAUGAGUACAAUUUGUCACUAAUGGAGAGAAAGAAUCAAUCAGUGUGUUGUUGUUCAAACUGAACUGGAUCAAAAGCGUUUGGGCUUCCCAAUCUCAUUCUGAUGCAGAGCAUAUCUUUUCUUGCAAGCAGGAGGCCCAGGCAGUCUUAAUUGUUGGCUAAA